CCUACGGGUGGCAGCAGUAGGGAAUCUUUCACAAUGGGCGAAAGCCUGACGCAGCAACGCCGCGUGCAGGAUGAAGGCCCUCGGGUUGUAAACUUCUUUUAUCAGCGAGAAAUAUAAUGGUAGCUUAUGAAUAAGUAUCGGCUAACAACGUGCUAGCAGCAGCGGUCAUACAUAGGAGGCGGGCAUUGUUCAGGGUGACUGGGGGUAAAGAGUGGCGUGGGGGGGGUAAGCAGAAGCGAGUGGAAUCUCGGGGCCCAAACAUUCAGACUACAAGUUAAACUGUUAAGCUUGAGUCCGGUAGAGGUAGCUGGAAUUCCUAGUGUAGGGGUGAAAUCCGUAGAUAUUAGAAGGAACACCAAUAGCGAAGGCAGUCUGCUGGAACGGUACUGACGCUGAGGCACGAAAGCGUAGGGAGCAAACAGGAUUAGAUACCCCUGUAGUC
rnacentral:rRNA from 1 species